AUCCAUGUUGGCCAAGUUGGCUCUCUAGUUCUAACGCGUUUCACAAAAUUUGAAGAUAAUUGUUCAAUGGAAUAAUGGUGACAGCUGAGCAUUGACUAAUGCAAGAGCCAACAAGGGGUAUUGGGGCUCUUUAGCCCCAUCCUGAAAUGAGCGGAUAAUACUAUUAGAUCCAUAUAGAUCUAAUUUUUUUGCAUCCUUCCAAAAUUAAACAAGCAAAGUUUUUAGCAGAACACUUUGACGAUGACGAAGCUAACAUUGGUGCUAGCUAACAUCAAAUUAUUGAAGGGAUAUAUAAUAUAUUUUAAGUUUUAUGAUUCUGCAUAGUACAGUAGUUGUGAGACUGGGACUCUCACAAUGGGCAAGCCACAUGCAGUUGACCCAAAGCUUCUAAGAAAUAUGGUACUUACAGAAUUUUACGAGUUGAUCGCUGCAGCAGAGGUAAAUAGGAAGCAUCCUUUGGCCAAGGCGAUUGUAGAGUAUGCUAAGAAAUUUAGAGAGGAUGUGGAAAAUCCUGUCUAGCCCGAGGCUCGAGACUUGAAUCUAUUACUGGACAUGGUUUGAAAGCUGUUGUUCAUAAUAAAGAGAUAAAUGUGGAACAAGAGCCUGAUGUUGGAUCUCACCAUUAGUAUUCCAAUUGAUGCAGAGGAAAUGCUUGCAGAAGCUGAAGGAAUGGCUCAAAGUGGGAUUCUUGUGUCAAUAUAAACUGCCAAGCACCCCUUUGGAAUUGUUGACGUAAGAUCAGGAUUUAUGUCUUUCAGAUACGAGCAAAGUCCAUUUGUCUGUAUGGUUAAAAAAUCAAUUUUUUUUAUCAGAAAAAAAAUAAUCAAUUUUUAUUUUCAAUGUGUUCCAAGGUAGAUGACGAAGAGAUGUAUUCAGAACGAUGUCUGGUUACGGAUUUGCUUAAAUUUAUUAAUAUAUGGCAUACAGAUACCUUUCAGAAUUCAGACAAGAGUUUAGCAUAACUAGAGAGCAUCAAGUUGAAUGGAUAAUAAUGGCUUUAGCU